rnacentral:lncRNA from 1 species
GUUUCCUUUGUGUCGCUCAGGGUUGGGGGUGGGGGGGAGCGUGUCAAUUGCAUUUCCAGGACGCCCUGGGCCCUAGCAUACUAAAUACGUUCUUCCUCUGAGCUCACCGAGAGGAGAAGGGAAGACGCAAGGAUUGCGGUCUCCAGGCUACAGAUAGGAUUUGUUGAGGCUUCAAAAUCAAAGGUGCUGCUCCAGUCUACACAGCUUUGGACUCAUCACCCAGGAUACUUUGCUGUCCUAGGAUCAAGCACCUGAAGCUGUCCUGAGGCUUCAUUCAUCAUGUGAGCUUCAGGAGUCGGAUUUACCUGAUUCUCUCCUUAGUGAUGCUUUCUGUGGCAAAGUCACAAAUAUUUCCAAGUGUUGCUGUAGACUGAGAUGGCCAGAGUCAUCCCAUGGUCACCUGCUGGAGGCAAUCUGCUGAUGUCACUUGACAAGAGUGUGUGAAUCAGACAUGGCUCUGCUAAGUCAUAAAUUUGGAAGAUGGAGAUGGAACACCCGGACCCAGGCCCUGUAAGACUAGAGACUUUGUGAACAGACCAAAUGAGCAGGAGCCCAGGUCCCCACGGCACCCACCACAGUUGUGCCAGCUCCCCUAACCUCCAGCACACAUCCAGGGUCAC